GGAGAGAAGUCCACUCUAAAA
rnacentral:snRNA from 1 species